rnacentral:lncRNA from 1 species
AAAGGAAAAGACAUGACUGAAGCGAAAAAGUAUAAGCUGGAUCCAGCAAUAGUAUCCGAGGACUUAGUAAGAAAGCAAGUGAAAUAGCUAGGUCAUUCAAAGGAGCAGCUAAAAAAGCCCUUUAUAGGGUAGGGUAGGAAAACCAGAAUAAAGAGAGAACCUUUCAAUAGACUUCGAAAGAAAGAGAUCGGCUUGGUGGGCUCAAAAAGAGAUGGUCGAU